rnacentral:rRNA from 1 species
UACGAAGGGGGCUAGCGUUGCUCGGAAUCACUGGGGGUAAAGGGUGCGUAGGCGGGUCUUUAAGUCAGGGGUGAAAUCCUGGAGCUCAACUCCAGAACUGCCCUUGAUACUGAGGGUCUUGAGUAUGGGAGAGGUGAGUGGAACUGCGAGUGUAGAGGUGAAAUUCGUAGAUAUUAGGAAGAACACCAGUGGCGAAGGCGGCUCACUGGUCCGGUACUGACGCUGAGGUGCGAAAGCGUGGUGAGCAAACAGG